rnacentral:rRNA from 1 species
AUACGAAGGGGGCUAGCGUUGUUCGGAAUUACUGGGCGUAAAGCGCGCGUAGGCGGAUUGGUCAGUUAGGGGUGAAAUCCCAGGGCUUAACCCUGGAACUGCCUCUAAUACGGCCAGUCUUGAGUUCGGGAGAGGUGAGUGGAAUUCCUAGUGUAGAGGUGAAAUUCGUAGAUAUUAGGAAGAACACCAGUGGCGAAGGCGGCUCACUGGCCCGAUACUGACGCUGAGGCGCGAAAGCGUGGGGAGCAAACAGGAUUAGAAACCCUAGUAGUCC